rnacentral:lncRNA from 1 species
GCGAACAAACAGAGCUCUUUGGGAUUUCAACACCCAAACAUCCUGCAAUUGUUUUCAGUUCUAGUUUCAGACCUGUCCUAACCCUGUGGUGCCUGCAAGAGGUGCAUCAGGAGGGGAAUAUUGAGGGAAUGCUGCUCGGGACGUGUUUGAAGCAAUCAAAGGGUUGAAAGAUUGAUUCGGCAUGUAGAUUGGAUUUAAUUCGAAGCAGCUUUGUUCUAAUGAGGACUACUGGGAUACAAAGACGGCAGCCGCUUAUGGCCACCAGUUGGGAACUUCCACUCGCUGCAGCAACCUGUCAAGAAUUCCAAGGAACUGCCAGGGUAAAAUUGCCUGCAGGGUACGUUUGCUGGAGCCUGUUAAUUCCUCCUGAGGAAUUUGGAAGAUGCCCAUGUCUAAGACAAUGA